rnacentral:rRNA from 1 species
UUGACUCGAUCAGGUAGGAUUACCCGCUGAACUUAAGCAUAUCAAUAAGCGGAGGAAAAGAAACCAACAGGAUUGCCCCAGUAACGGCGAGUGAAGCGGCAACAGCUCAGAUUUGGAAUCUGGCUUUCGGGCCCGAGUUGUAAUCUGGAGAGGAUGCUUCUGGCGCGGUGCCUUCCGAGUUCCCUGGAACGGGACGCCGGAGAGGGUGAGAGCCCCGUACGGUUGGACACCUAGCUCUGUGAAGCUCCUUCGACGAGUCGAGUAGUUUGGGAAUGCUGCUCAAAAUGGGAGGUAAAUUUCUUCUAAAGCUAAAUAUUGGCCAGAGACCGAUAGCGCACAAGUAGAGUGAUCGAAAGAUGAAAAGCACUUUGAAGAGAGAGUUAAAAAGUACGUGAAAUUGUUGAAAGGGAAG